rnacentral:rRNA from 1 species
UACGAAGGGGGCUAGCGUUGCUCGGAAUCACUGGGCGUAAAGGGUGCGUAGGCGGACUUUUAAGUCGGGGGUGAAAUCCUAGGGCUCAACCCUGGAACUGCCUUCGAUACUGGGAGUCUUGAGACCGGGAGAGGUGAGUGGAACUGCGAGUGUAGAGGUGAAAUUCGUAGAUAUUCGCAAGAACACCAGUGGCGAAGGCGGCUCACUGGCCCGGUUCUGACGCUGAGGCACGAAAGCGUGGGGAGCAAACAGG